AUCUGUGUAGUGGCUACAGCACCUGUGUUUCAGCCUGCAGAAUGGGCUCAGAUAGUUUAUGAUUCUGAAGAAGAAUUAGAGGUGAGACUUGAGAAAAUAUAGAAAAAGAUAUGCAGGAUGAGAAGUUUUCUUUACCAUCCAUCACUUUCUUGAUGGGUUAUUAUUCUCUCUGCCUUCUGUGAAACAAACUGGAUACUAAUGGCACAAUUACACUUAGAGCUAGUCACUUGUGUAGUUUACACACAUAGUUCUGCUACCAAUGUUUAGUAAUGAGUUAAACAUUUUGCCAUAUUUGUCCCUGAAGCUAUAAUUUAAUAAAUCAUUAUAUACAUAGCAAUAAUAAUAAGUAAAACAAAAAGAAGGAUAAUUCUUUUGUUUUAUGGUAAUUAUGUUGGGUCCUUUGGAUCCUCCCAAAAAAGUUGACUUCCCUAAAAUAAUUACACUUGAAUUAGGUAUAGAGAUGCUAAUUGUAAAAAAUUGAAAGUUACUGUAAAUCUUCUAAUCAUAGUUCUUUGCAAGUGUACUUAAGUUAUUGCUCCACUUGAAAUAAAUGAAAACUGGAAAUCUGAGGUGAUAAAUUAUGGGUCCCUUUUAAGUAAGAAAGAUGACAAGGAAAUCUAAUCAGCUGACUCAUAUUAAAAUAAAGUACCUUGGCCCGAGAUCAAAGAUAGGUGAAAAAAUUAACAUUUAUAUUUUUUAAGUGAGAUAAAAUGUACAAGUUUUUAUGUAUUUAUUUUAUGACUUCCUGAUAUAACACAAAGUAUUGAUAAAAGCACCCAAUACUGGUUCUAAUGACAUCCAAUUAGCAUUAAUGUGUUCCUAUUAUU